AGCUUUGCACAGUGGUAGUAUCAUAGUCAAUGAGGUUAAUCCGAGGUGUGAUUAUUGCUAAUUGAAAACAUUAAGAAAAAAAAGAUACCAGUGUAAUGUACUCAAUUCCUCAGAUUAAAAUGUAUUAGAAAAGCCAUCUCUGGG